AUACGUAGGGUGCAAGCGUUAAUCGGAACUACUGGGCGUAAAGCGUGCGCAGGCGGUUUUGUAAGACAGAGGUGAAAUCCCCGGGCGCAACCUGGGAACUGCCUUUGGGACUGAAAGGCUAGAGUACGGCAGAGGGGGAUGGAAUUCCGCGAGUAGCAGUGAAAUGCGGAGAUAUGCGGAGGAACGCCUGUGGCGAAGGGAAUCCCCUUGGCCAGUACGGACGGUCAUGCACGAAAGCGUGGGGAGCAAACAGGAUUAGAUUCCCUUGUAGUCCACGCCCUAAGCGAUGUCAUCUGGUUGUUGGGUCUUCAUUGACUCAGUAACGAAGCUAACGCGUUAAGUUGACCGCCUGGGGAGUACGGCCGCAAGGUUGAAACUCAAAUGAAUUGACGGGG
rnacentral:rRNA from 1 species